rnacentral:sRNA from 1 species
UCUGGAUGUGGUGGUGCACUCCUGUAAUCCCAGUGGCCCAGGAGGCUGAGGCAGGAGCAUCGCAAGUUUGAGGCCAGCCUCGGCAACUUAGCGAGACCCUGUCUCAA